AUGAACGCUGGCGGCGUGCCUCAUACAUGCAAGUCGAGCGAACAGACGAGGAGCUUGCUUCUCUGACGUUAGCGGCGGACGGGUGAGUAACACGUGGAUAACCUACCUAUAAGACUGGGAUAACUUCGGGAAACCGGAGCUAAUACCGGAUAAUAUAUUGAACCGCAUGGUUCAAUAGUGAAAGACGGUUUUGCUGUCACUUAUAGAUGGAUCCGCGCCGCAUUAGCUAGUUGGUAAGGUAACGGCUUACCAAGGCAACGAUGCGUAGCCGACCUGAGAGGGUGAUCGGCCACACUGGAACUGAGACACGGUCCAGACUCCUACGGGAGGCAGCAGUAGGGAAUCUUCCGCAAUGGGCGAAAGCCUGACGGAGCAACGCCGCGUGAGUGAUGAAGGUCUUCGGAUCGUAAAACUCUGUUAUUAGGGAAGAACAAAUGUGUAAGUAACUAUGCACGUCUUGACGGUACCUAAUCAGAAAGCCACGGCUAACUACGUG
rnacentral:rRNA from 1 species